GAUCAUGGCUCAGGAUGAACGCUGGCGGCGUGCUUAACACAUGCAAGUCGAACGGAGCCAAGAGAUGCUUGCAUCUCUGAAGCUUAGUGGCGGGCGGGUGAGUAACGCGUGAGUAACCUGCCCUUUACCGGGGGAUAACACUUAGAAAUAGGUGCUAAUACCGCAUAAGCGCACAGAACCGCAUGGUUCAGUGUGAAAAACUCCGGUGGUAAAGGAUGGACUCGCGUCUGAUUAGCCAGUUGGCAGGGUAACGGCCUACCAAAGCGACGAUCAGUAGCCGGCCUGAGAGGGUGAACGGCCACAUUGGGACUGAGACACGGCCCAAACUCCUACGGGAGGCAGCAGUGGGGGAUAUUGCACAAUGGGGGAAACCCUGAUGCAGCGACGCCGCGUGAGUGAAGAAGUAUUUCGGUAUGUAAAGCUCUAUCAGCAGGGAAGAAAAUGACGGUACCUGACUAAGAAGCCCGGGCUAACUACGUGCCAGCAGCCGC
rnacentral:rRNA from 1 species